CCUCAGACAAUUCCUCAGACGAUGCAAUCUCUGGCCUCUUGACCUCAUCCUUGACCUUUGCCUGGCCAGUCAAUGGGGACCUGGGGUGGACAUGCGGAUGGGUCUGUCUCAUCCGGGCAGGAGGGCCGGAAACCAGGGGGUGGGAUGGGACAGCAAAUCGGUGUGAAGCGUGUGGGUGUGACGUCUUGGACGUUGAAUGAGGCCAUCUUUCAGGGGAGGUGCAGCUCUGUGUGUCCAGAGGGGGAAAGAUUGAAUGUUUCUUAGAUGGGUCCUUCUGGGUGCCGGCAGCAUGCUGGUCUGGCUCCGAAUGGCUGUUGGCGAGGAACCUGUGGAGGUUGUACCAGGGGAAAGCUGGCAGUGUCGGGGAGACGGGACAAAGAAUGGAGGUGGAGCGCUGGUGUGUUCUGGGCCUGUGGAGUUCAGUAGUUCCUGUGCAGAAAUCGUCCUGUGCAGUCCGAUUUGCCCAUGGCUAGAAAUGAAAAUGAUGACAAACAUGCAGUUAGUAAUGAGGUUAUUGUUAUUUUCAAUCUUAGAAAAGCUCAUAGGCCUGUAUGUCAAAGUGAUGAUUUUAAAUCACUGGAGUUUUGACUAUGAGGGUGGUGAGAGAAAAGAGAUUCUAACCAUUCUUAUGAUGAGCCUUGGGAAGGAGAACUUUCCCAUAGUUCCUUCAAUUACAGUAAUCCUGAAAAAGGUACAAUAUGGCUUAAAAAUAUUAUUAUAUUAUUUAAAUCAUCACAAUUAAAUUGUGUCACAAAGUAGGCCUUUUCACACUAAAUCACAAGUGGUCACAACUACUUACCACCAAUCAAUCACUUCAAAAAUAACCAUCCAAAAUAUAGCAAUGAUUUUGACCCUGAAUUGAACUUGUAAGUGUUGCCGUAAAUGGCAAACCAUUUAGGCUGUCAUCAGAAUACAAUUAUUUAUGACAUCACAAUUGUGAUGUAAUGUGGUGCCAUGGGAGACCACACCCACCCUGACAGACAACAAAUCACCAGAGCCACAUAGGCCUAUUAACCAAUUAAUCCACUUCUAUUUUUGAAAUACAGUAUUUUUAGUACUAGUAAGCUCAUAAACAUAGUAAAAACCACACUGUAGCAAUGUG
rnacentral:lncRNA from 1 species